UGGGGAAUUUUGGACAAUGGGCGAAAGCCUGAUCCAGCAAUGCCGCGUGUGUGAAGAAGGCCUUCGGGUUGUAAAGCACUUUUGUCCGGAAAGAAAUCCUUGGCUCUAAUACAGUCGGGGGAUGACGGUACCGGAAGAAUAAGCACCGGCUAACUACGUGCCAGCAGCCGCGGUAAUACGUAGGGUGCAAGCGUUAAUCGGAAUUACUGGGCGUAAAGCGUGCGCAGGCGGUUUGCUAAGACCGAUGUGAAAUCCCCGGGCUCAACCUGGGAACUGCAUUGGUGACUGGCAGGCUAGAGUAUGGCAGAGGGGGGUAGAAUUCCACGUGUAGCAGUGAAAUGCGUAGAGAUGUGGAGGAAUACCGAUGGCGAAGGCAGCCCCCUGGGCCAAUACUGACGCUCAUGCACGAAAGCGUGGGGAGCAAACAGGAUUAGAUACCCUGGUAGUCCACGCCCUAAACGAUGUCAACUAGUUGUUGGGGAUUCAUUUCCUUAGUAACGUAGCUAACGCGUGAAGUUGACCGCCUGGGGAGUACGGUCGCAAGAUUAAAACUUCAAAUGGAAUUGACGGGGU
rnacentral:rRNA from 1 species